CCUGCAGUGAUGAUCAUGCAUAGAGGGCUGAAAGAUGUUACGAAAACCGGCCCUCGUUCCCGGAUCACGAUGCCUUGAACGUAAUAGGCUAUCCCCGAGCACACUAUUCCCUACUCAAACACGGUUAUAGCGAAGCGUUAAGCACUUGUGAUUCGAAAGACUCUUCGGA